rnacentral:rRNA from 1 species
GAUGAACGCUGGCGGCGUGCUUAACACAUGCAAGUCGAGCGAGAAGACUUUGACAGAUCCUUCGGGUGACGGAUAAGUUGGAAAGCGGCGGACGGGUGAGUAACGCGUGGGCAACCUGCCCCAUACAGGAGGAUAGCCACUGGAAACGGUGAUUAAUACUCCAUAAGACCACAGCAUCACAUGAUGCAGAGGUAAAAACUCCGGUGGUAUGGGAUGGGCCCGCGUCUGAUUAGCUAGUUGGUAAGGUAACGGCUUACCAAGGCGACGAUCAGUAGCCGACCUGAGAGGGUGAUCGGCCACACUGGAACUGAGACACGGUCCAGACUCCUACGGGAGGCAGCAGUGGGGAAUAUUGCACAAUGGGCGAAAGCCUGAUGCAGCAACGCCGCGUGAACGAUGAAGGCCUUCGGGUUGUAAAGUUCUUUUCUUGGAGAAGAAUAAAUGACGGUAUCCAAGGAAUAAGCCCCGGCUAACUACGUGCCAGCAGCCGCGGUAAUACGUAGGGGGCAAGCGUUAUCCGGAAUCACUGGGCGUAAAGGGAGUGUAGGCGGUCAAGCAAGUCAGAGGUGAAAGGCAUCGGCUCA